UGUCUGCAAGGCUGGAUCCCAAGGGCUGCCCAGAGGGGAAAAGAAGCAGAAGUGGUCUACUGCUGGGGUCUCGGCAACACGUCCUCUGCUACCCUCUCCCCAAGCAGAUGCUUAGCAGGCACUCGGCAGACAUCAGAGUAUUUAGGGAACUGGUUUCCACUAAAUCCCUGAAAUGAUUCACUAAGCACAGAAGCAGUCAUCACCUGAUUUCACACUUUGAAGUUAAAAGACACCUAAAAAAUCACUCAAGCUCUCUACAUGCACAAAGGCUAAGAAGCAAGAAGUUACCCAGCAUCCUCUUGACACCAGAGUUUCCACCUCUCAAACAUCAAGGGUUAGUGAAGAUGCAAAUCAGAGCAGCAGCUUGGGGGCUACCCAAUAAACAACUACAGACUACAAAGUACUGAAUUUGCCACUGACCAUGAAGCUAAGGAAGUGACAAGGCUCACCUCCACAACUCACUAACACCUCACACAGGACCAGUGUGAGCCUGUCUGGGACUGAUUACUUACUUCCCUGUGGCUCAUGUGUAGCAUCCAGAUACCAAGACCUGCAAAUGAUUAAUGCAUAGCACUUUUGGGACUCGACACAGUGGGCUUUUUUUUUUUUUAAGAUUUUAUUUAUUUAUUCAUGAGAG